CCUCUGGUUCCCUGUCCUAUCAGAUCUGAAUGUUGGUCUUGGUAAUCAUAACAGGAGG
rnacentral:snoRNA from 1 species